AAGCAAUGAUGAGUGAAGUAUAGUUUGACCUGGUAUUACCAAGAUGUCAUGUCUUGGUUCUGACCAGGGUAUGAUCAUAUAAUCUUCUCUCUGAGCUC
ensembl:snoRNA SNORD7 small nucleolar RNA, C/D box 7